UCUUGACUCCAGAGCAACUUUCCAGAGAUGGUUUCUGGUGCCUUCGGGAACUCUGAGACAGGUGCUUGCAUGGCUGUCGUCAGCUCGUGUUGUGAAAUGUUGGGUUAAGUCCCGCAACGAGCGCAACCCUUAUCCUUUGUUGCCAGCGGUUCGGCCGGGAACUCAAAGGAGACUGCCAGUGAUAAACUGGAGGAAGGUGGGGAUGACGUCAAGUCAUCAUGGCCCUUACGAGUAGGGCUACACACGUGCUACAAUGGCGCAUACAAAGAGAAGCGACCUCGCGAGAGCAAGCGGACCUCAUAAAGUGCGUCGUAGUCCGGAUUGGAGUCUGCAACUCGACUCCAUGAAGUCGGAAUCGCUAGUAAUCGUAGAUCAGAAUGCUACGGUGAAUACGUUCCCGGGUCUUGUACACACCG
rnacentral:rRNA from 1 species